rnacentral:lncRNA from 1 species
AGGGUAUUCAGUCACCUGGGCUACCUAAAAGACAUCAAAGGGCCCCAGAUCCCCGGAGGACUGGGUAGGAGCUGUUACCUGCUCUUCCUCAGGGCUGAGGUCGGGAGUCCUAACCGGAGCAUGUGGCACUCCAGCCCAGCGACCCCGGUUCUCAGGGAGGGGGCGAAGGGGCAGACCAGAGCACAGUUCCUGGAGGCUGGACAUGUCCGCUGAAACUGAGGUGAAGGGAAACUUUCUACUCCUGAACCCCAGGGAGGGGAGAGGUGGAGGUGGGGUUGAUCACCGCUGACAGAUGCCACCAGUCAUGAUGGCGUAAAGAGUACCACAAAGUCCCUAAGGAAGGAUUCACAGGGCUCCUAUCAAGACAGCAGAGACCCUUGGAACACCAAGAAGCCCAGAAGGGUCUACAACUCUCAAAACUCACCCUGAAUGCCUUCUACUGGGCUGACACCCGAAUCCUUCAUGGUACACAGGAGAAUAAAGUAACAUGUUACUGUG